CUAGCUUUGGCCCCAGGUAAGCUAACACUGGAAGGAUACAGAGAUUAUUAGCAUGGUCCCUGCAAAAGGAUGGAUGACACGCAAAUUUGAGAAGCAUUCCUUUUUUCU